rnacentral:rRNA from 1 species
UACGGAGGAUCCGAGCGUUAUCCGGAUUUAUUGGGUUUAAAGGGUGCGUAGGCGGGAAAUUAAGUCAGUGGUGAAAGUUUGCAGCUCAACUGUAAAAUUGCCAUUGAAACUGAUUUUCUUGAGUGUAAAUAAGGUAGGCGGAAUGUGUUGUGUAGCGGUGAAAUGCAUAGAUAUAACACAGAACACCAAUUGCGAAGGCAGCUUACCGGGCUACAACUGACGCUGAGGCACGAAAGCGUGGGGAUCAAACAGG